GGGGACGUAGCUCAGUUGGCUAGAGCACCUGCUUUGCAAGCAGGGGGUCGUGGGUUCGAUUCCCAUCGUCUCCAC
rnacentral:tRNA from 2 species